rnacentral:misc_RNA from 1 species
UUGAAAUAUUAUGCCAGUGAGGGGGGCACUUCCGUUUAUGGCGUCGAUCCAAACAGAAAGAUGGAGAAAUAUGCACAAGCAGCAGCAGAGACUGCAGGCCUUCCAGCUGCGAAUUUCAAAUUCCUGCAUGCAGUUUCUGAGUCCUUGCCAUUACGUGAUGCUUCAGUUGAUGCUGUCAUUGGCACUCUUGUAUUAUGUUCUGUCUCAGAUGUUAAUCUGACACUGCAGGAGGUCAGAAGGGUGCUCAAGCCUGGUGGUAUUUACCUCUUUGUUGAACAUGUGGCUGCAGCAG